AUACCAACAUCCCCCACAUGCUUCCUAUGAAGAGAAGAAACUGGGGGGGGGGUUGAAUAGCUUGAAAGAAAAUCUCAGCUUACUUCCUGUCAACCAGAAGAAGCCUGCCAUCUCUUUGUUCCAGCCAGGAAGUGAGGCUGAAGCAAGACCCCGUCCUAUCAGGCAUGUGCUCGUGAAAGAGAGAGAAUCUGCAGCCCAGGAAUCUAUGGGGCUCCCGCAGCGUGGAGGACAGGAUCCAACACACGCUCUGAUUUCCUCCCUCGGGGUACUGUGAGUGAUGGUGUCUCACUGAAGCCUGUGGACAGAGCUACUGGCCUGGCUGCUUUCACAGCUUCCUGCCGUCCCGUGAAAGUGGCCGCGUCCCUUCAUGCCCUCAGAAUAGUUCCUGACCAACUUCAAGUGCAUGUCUGGUGGCCGCUGCACACAUCAUUUGGCUUGGCACCUUAAACUCUUCAGAAGGCCUCCGCUUGAAGGCCCUGAUGUUGCUCAGUUGAUAGAGUACUUGCCAAGCAUGCACAAAGCCCUGGUCUAGUUCCUGGCACCACAUACCUUGGUGAGGGAGUAUACACCUGCAAUCCGAGUACUUGGGAGGCUGAGGCAGGAGGAUCAUGAUUUUAUAGCCAGGCUGAGCUACCUAGUAUAGUACCACCUCGAAACGAAAGAGAACAGAAACAACAAAACCGAGCAGAACCCAGUGGGUACAGUGGUCGCUUCACACAGAAAGGACCCACGUUUGGAUCCUCAGAACCCACAUAAAGAGCCGAGCAUGGCUGUCUUGAGAUGUACAUGG